rnacentral:lncRNA from 1 species
CUCUUAUUGAUAGCACUGAAAGAAUUACUACAGAAUUCUUUUCAAAUUUAAUCCAGUAUCUUUUUAUAUCUACCCCAUUUAUCCUAGAAAUCUAAUAUGUUCACGAGUCUACAAUCACUAAACAAGAGAAUGAAUGACGAUAAGCUAACUGUUAGUGCUAAUAAACAAUCUGCAAUUUACUUCGACCAGAAGAAACACUAGUGAAACACUAGUAAUAAGUAAAUUUAAAAUACUAGUAAAUACUAGCUUUUUAAAAAAUGUCCAACAAUCAUGGUACCCAAUGUAUUAAUAUUUGUCAUAUGGCUGUAAGAUCAAGACAACAUAUAUCAUUAAAUUUAAUCACUUAAGUAAUACUAAUAAAUUACUAUUACUCUUAAUUUUGGGACUAUACAUGUAGGUACAUACACACAUGUAUCUGUUCUAACAACGUAUUACUCACGAGAAAACUGGGCAUGUCCCAGGCUUUCCUCUAAA